UCGAUUGUCCAUAGUGGUAGGAGAACUACAACCAGUCCUUAGAGUUUAACAAACGGCAGCAAGGCAAGUUCACACUUUUAUCAUACUUUUCUAUACCCUGUUUUUUAUUAUGCAAUAUUUUCACUCCUAUCAAUUCGCAUGAGUAGGAUUGGGAAUAUUAUGGUAUUGCUAUGUAGUUCAUGAGUUAGGAACCUCUGACCCUUGAUCACCCCUGGAAUAUUCGUUAUUCUUAUAUAUUUCUUAGACAUGCUCGUUGAUGGUGGUUGGUAUGCGGGAUUCAUGUAAAUUGAGAGAGAAAUAAUAAUUUUGGGUUAACCUUAAGGUGGUGACAUUUACAAAACUCUAGGUGGAAUGGUUCGGGCACGUGGAGAAUGCAGUGCUUGCCCUAGAGGAUCCCGGAGGACUAGUGUGAUCACCCUAUGGAAUGACACCUGGGCUGAAACUUCCGUGUGUGGCAAGAAGCCAUUAUGGGCUCUGGCAUAGUUUAGUAAGUCUGUGUGAGCCUUUCCGGAUAGGCUAGCAGUUGUAGUGCAACUUAGAUGCACCAGCCUAUCCAAGGUUAAGGUGAACACAUUCAGAAAUACUAUGUCACGAUCUUCGGAUCAUGAGGUGGUCGAGUCUUGUGGGGAAAAGUGUGCAAACGUCUUCAGAGUGUAUAAACUAAUCAUGAUUAGCCGUCUCCGUGGUUACAGACAAUUUUGCGUAUCUUGAAGUGCAUUAUUGGUUGAUCUCAUCACUCUAUUUAAUUAAUUAAUUGCGUAAUUAAUAAAUUGGGAAUUCUGGGAGUUGAGUUGGAGGAACCUUCUCAAUAUUGGUAUAAACUUGGUAGUAAAUAAAAAAAUAUUCCUUUCUUGUAGAAAAAAAUUAGCUUUGUGCAAAAAUUAAACUUAGAGCCUCCAUGAGCAAAAUUUUCUUAUAGAGAUAGUAAGUUUUAUCAUUGCUCUAUUGUAUGACAUUGCGAGCAUAUUCCACGUGCUGACCUACAUGGCUGCAACGUCUCAUUAUGUAGAGUUUUGUGACAAGGAUUAAGGUGCGAUAGGUCAUUGUUCUGCACUCAGUUUUGCUAUUGGAGUUGAUGGACACAUUUAUCUUCAAAGAUUCCACAAUUAUUUUAAUUAGA
rnacentral:lncRNA from 1 species